rnacentral:rRNA from 1 species
GACGAACGCUGGCGGCGUGCCUAACACAUGCAAGUCGAGCGGGGAUAUUCGAGUAGCAAUACGAGGAUGUUCCAGCGGCGGACGGGUGAGUAACGCGUGAGCAACCUGUCCCAAACAGGGGGAUAACGAACCGAAAGGUUCACUAAUACCGCAUAAGACCACGAGGCCACAUGGUUUGAGGUCAAAGGAGAAAUCCGGUUUGGGGUGGGCUCGCGUCUGAUUAGCUAGUUGGUGGGGUAACGGCCUACCAAGGCGACGAUCAGUAGCCGACCUGAGAGGGUGAUCGGCCACAUUGGAACUGAGAGACGGUCCAAAACUCCUACGGGAGGCAGCAGUGGGGAAUAUUGGGCAAUGGGCGAAAGCCUGACCCAGCAACGCCGCGUGAAGGAAGAAGGUUUUCGGAUCGUAAACUUCUAUCCUUGGUGAAGAUAAUGACGGUAGCCAAGAAGGAAGCCCCGGCUAACUACGUG